rnacentral:rRNA from 1 species
ACGGAAGGCAGCAGUGAGGAAUAUUGGUCAAUGGACGGAAGUCUGAACCAGCCAUGCCGCGUGAAGGAAGACUGCCCUAUGGGUUGUAAACUUCUUUUAUCUGGGAGCAAUAAGCACUAUGCGUAGUGUGAUGAGAGUACCAGAGGAAUAAGCAUCGGCUAACUCCGUGCCAGCAGCCGCGGUAAUACGGAGGAUGCGAGCGUUAUCCGGAUUUAUUGGGUUUAAAGGGUGCGCAGGCGGCACGUUAAGUCAGCGGUGAAAUGCAGGGGCUCAACCCCGGCACUGCCGUUGAAACUGGCGAGCUCGAGUACGGAUGAAGUCGGCGGAAUGUGAUGUGUAGCGGUGAAAUGCUUAGAUAUGUCACAGAACACCGAUUGCGAAGGCAGCUGACUAAUCCGCAACUGACGCUCAGGCACGAAAGCGUGGGGAUCGAACAGGAUUAGAUACCCUGGUA